rnacentral:rRNA from 1 species
CAGCAGCCGCGGGAAAACGGAGGGUGCAAGCGUUAAUCGGAAUUACUGGGCGUAAAGCGCACGCAGGCGGUCUGUCAAGUCGGAUGUGAAAUCCCCGGGCUCAACCUGGGAACUGCAUCCGAAACUGGCAGGCUAGAGUCUUGUAGAGGGGGGUAGAAUUCCAGGUGUAGCGGUGAAAUGCGUAGAGAUCUGGAGGAAUACCGGUGGCGAAGGCGGCCCCCUGGACAAAGACUGACGCUCAGGUGCGAAAGCGUGGGGAGCAAACAGGAUUAGAUACCCGUGUAGUCCCUGUCUCUUAUAC